UACGGGGGGGGCAAGCGUUGUUCGGAAUUACUGGGCGUAAAGGGCUCGUAGGCGGCCAACUAAGUCAGACGUGAAAUCCCUCGGCUUAACCGGGGAACUGCGUCUGAUACUGGAUGGCUUGAGUUUGGGAGAGGGAUGCGGAAUUCCAGGUGUAGCGGUGAAAUGCGUAGAUAUCUGGAGGAAUACCGGUGGCGAAGGCGGCAUCCUGGACCGACAUUGACGCUGAGGAGCGAAAGCUAGGGGAGCAAACGAG
rnacentral:rRNA from 1 species